GGAGGAGUGUCCGAGUGGUUUAAGGAGGCGGUCUUGAAAACCGUUGUGGUUAAUAGCCACCGUGGGUUCGAAUCCUACCUCCUCCGCCA
rnacentral:tRNA from 1 species